GGGUUUGAUCCUGGCCCAGGACGAACGCUGGCGGCGUGCCUCAUGCAUGCAAGUCGGACGA
rnacentral:rRNA from 1 species